GUGUAGUUGGGGAAGAAUUCCAAAAACUUUCCAAAUCGGGCGUUCCCUUCCCCAGCCGUCCGUGAUGUUCUUGUGCUUCCACCUCCCUCCGCGUGCGCCUCUUCCCAGCAUCCGCACGACCCAGCAAUCCGCGAUCACCUCCGAAGCAUUCGUCCCAUGUCCGUGAUCAUCUCCCGGACCUCCCAGCAGCCGCGAUCACCGCCCGGCCGUCUGCCACCGCCCAGCUUCUUCCCGGCCGUCCGCUCCUCUCGCACAACCAGAUCUGCAACGCGUCCCAGCUACCCCGUAAUCAUCCCGCGAUCAACGCUCCCAUGCCCGUGAUCAGCUCCAGCGCCCGAGCCUGUGAAGCCUCCCAGCAUCCCGUCUCCACCGUGUCCGCUUCUCCCGUGCUCUCAGCCAUCUGCCGUGAUACGCCCUCAAUCUCCUCCACAGCAUCCGCCCGAGCCGAAGAUCACAGCAUUCCGUGAAGCGUCGCACCCAUCAGCGCCGGAUUCACUCCGUUGUCACCUCCUCUCCACGCGCGAUCAGGGGAAUCCUAACUUGUCCAUGGGCUCCGGGGCGAUCUAUAUGAAGAGGGCCUUCUCGGCUGGGAGGGGGGGCCGGCAUCCGAAGAGAAAAGAAGAGUGAAAACAGAGGAAGAAAGAGAGGGAAACAGGGUAUGCCCUGUUUUCGAAAAUAAAAAAAGAGAGAAAUAGAAAAAAAAAUAUGAGGAGGCUUAUCUCUUUGAUGGAG
rnacentral:lncRNA from 1 species